rnacentral:lncRNA from 1 species
CGGGCGGGCCGGAGGCCACAGGGAUCGGAGAUGGGGGGGCAGGAGCAGCCAGGAGUCCCUGGCCCCCUAAAGCCCGGCAGACUCCGCUGCGCGAAGCGGAGAAGCAGCUGGAGCCGUGAGGUUUUCACACCCAGAGAAAUCUGUUCGCCCGUGCAGAGCCCGGCCUGGGUCCGUGACCCCCCCGGGGCUGGGCCUCAGGGCGGCCAGUGCAGAGCCCAGCCUAGGUAAAGCUCUUGGGAAACCUCCACAUGGCCGUCACGGUUGUGCUCUUAGGGGGAAACCAGGAUUGGCCCCUACCAAGCAGGUCAGUGAGGGUCACCUGCCCUUUCUCCCUGUUUGCGCGCAUGGCAGGGAGGGAGGGCGGGCAGGGGAGGUGGUAGAAACAUCUGCCAAGUGCCAAGUAAAGGGAAAUCCGUUCUCACUGUGAAAGAUGGUGUUUGGAGUCACAUGGGCAAGUUCCGUGUCCAUCACCCCCACCCCUCUUCUAGUUAGAACCUUCACAAAA